GAUGAACGCUGGCGGCGUGCCUAAUACAUGCAAGUCGAGCGAACGGACGAGAAGCUUGCUUCUCUGAUGUUAGCGGCGGACGGGUGAGUAACACGUGGAUAACCUACCUAUAAGACUGGGAUAACUUCGGGAAACCGGAGCUAAUACCGGAUAAUAUUUUGAACCGCAUGGUUCAAAAGUGAAAGACGGUCUUGCUGUCACUUAUAGAUGGAUCCGCGCUGCAUUAGCUAGUUGGUAAGGUAACGGCUUACCAAGGCAACGAUGCAUAGCCGACCUGAGAGGGUGAUCGGCCACACUGGAACUGAGACACGGUCCAGACUCCUACGGGAGGCAGCAGUAGGGAAUCUUCCGCAAUGGGCGAAAGCCUGACGGAGCAACGCCGCGUGAGUGAUGAAGGUCUUCGGAUCGUAAAACUCUGUUAUUAGGGAAGAACAUAUGUGUAAGUAACUGUGCACAUCUUAACGGUACCUAAUCAGAAAGCCACGGCUAACUACGUG
rnacentral:rRNA from 1 species